rnacentral:rRNA from 1 species
GUCCACACCGUAAACGAUGAUUACUAGGUGUUGGAGGAUUGACCCCUUCAGUGCCGCAGUUAACACAAUAAGUAAUCCACCUGGGGAGUACGACCGCAAGGUUGAAACUCAAAGGAAUUGACGGGGGCCCGCACAAGCAGUGGAGUAUGUGGUUUAAUUGACGCAACGCGAAGAACCUUACCAAGUCUUGACAUCCCCUUGACGAUGCUGGAAACAGUAUUUCUCUUCGGAGCAAGGAGACAGGUGGUGCAUGGUUGUCGU